rnacentral:rRNA from 1 species
UGGGGAAUUUUGGACAAUGGGCGAAAGCCUGAUCCAGCAAUGCCGCGUGUGUGAAGAAGGCCUUCGGGUUGUAAAGCACUUUUGUCCGGAAAGAAAUGGCUCUGGUUAAUACCUGGGGUCGAUGACGGUACCGGAAGAAUAAGGACCGGCUAACUAUGUGCCAGCAGCCGCGGUAAUACGUAGGGUCCAAGCGUUAAUCGGAAUUACUGGGCGUAAAGCGUGCGCAGGCGGUUGUGCAAGACCGAUGUGAAAUCCCCGAGCUUAACUUGGGAAUUGCAUUGAUGACUGCACGGCUAGAGUGUGUCAGAGGGGGGUAGAAUUCCACGUGUAGCAGUGAAAUGCGUAGAGAUGUGGAGGAAUACCGAUGGCGAAGGCAGCCCCCUGGGAUAACACUGACGCUCAUGCACGAAAGCGUGGGGAGCAAACAGG